rnacentral:tRNA from 1 species
GGGGGUGUAGCUCAGUGGUAGAGUGCUUGCCUGGCAUAUAUGAGGUGCUGGGUCCCAUCCCCA